CACGUAGGGCGCAAGCGUUGUCCGGAAUUAUUGGGCGUAAAGAGCUCGUAGGCGGUCUGUUGCGUCCGCUGUGAAAACUCGGGGCUUAACCCCCGAGCCUGCAGUGGAUACGGGCAGACUAGAGGUAGGUAGGGGAGAAUGGAAUUCCCGGUGUAGCGGUGAAAAUGCGCAGAUAUCAGGAGGAACACCGGUGGCGAAGGCGGGGUCUCUGGGCCGAUACUGACGCUGAGGGAGCGAAAAGCGUGGGGGAGCAAACAGG
rnacentral:rRNA from 1 species